CACGGGGGGAGCAAGCGUUGUUCGGAAUCACUGGGCGUAAAGGGCGUGUAGGCGGUCGAGUAAGUGGAAUGUGAAAUGCUCCGGCUCACCCGGAGUACUGCAUCCCAAACUGCUCGGCUUGAGUAUGGGAGAGGAUGAGGGAAUUCCUGGUGUAGCGGUGAAAUGCGUAGAUAUCAGGAGGAACACCGGUGGCGAAGGCGCUCAUCUGGCCCAAUACUGACGCUGAGGCGCGAAAGCUAGGGGAGCAAACAGG
rnacentral:rRNA from 1 species